GGAAUCUUCCGCAAUGGACGAAAGUCUGACGGAGCAACGCCGCGUGAACGAUGAAGGUCUUCGGAUUGUAAAGUUCUGUGAUCCGGGACGAAGGCAUUGAUUGAGAACAUUGAUUGAUGUUGACGGUACCGGAAAAGCAAGCCACGGCUAAGUACGUGCCAGCAGCCGCGGUAAUACGUAGGUCCCGAGCGUUGUCCGGAUUUAUUGGGCGUAAAGCGAGCGCAGGCGGUUUAAUAAGUCUGAAGUUAAAGGCAGUGGCUUAACCAUUGUUCGCUUUGGAAACUGUUAGACUUGAGUGCAGAAGGGGAGAGUGGAAUUCCAUGUGUAGCGGUGAAAUGCGUAGAUAUAUGGAGGAACACCGGUGGCGAAAGCGGCUCUCUGGUCUGUAACUGACGCUGAGGCUCGAAAGCGUGGGGAGCAAACA
rnacentral:rRNA from 1 species